CCCAAAUUCCACAUGCUCGAGUAUGCCGAAGGGUAGACCUCCCACCCUUGUGUAUUAUUACUUUGUUGCUUUGGCGAGCUGCCUUCGGGCCUUGUAUGCUCGCCAGAGAAUACCAAAACUCUUUUUAUUAAUGUCGUCUGAGUACUAUAUAAUAGUUAAAACUUUCAACAACGGAUCUCUUGGUUCUGGCAUCGAUGAAGAACGCAGCGAAAUGCGAUAAGUAAUGUGAAUUGCAGAAUUCAGUGAAUCAUCGAAUCUUUGAACGCACAUUGCGCCCCUUGGUAUUCCGGGGGGCAUGCCUGUUCGAGCGUCAUUUCAACCCUCAAGCUUAGCUUGGUAUUGAGUCUAUGUCAGUAAUGGCAGGCUCUAAAAUCAGUGGCGGCGCCGCUGGGUCCUGAACGUAGUAAUAUCUCUCGUUACAGGUUCUCGGUGUGCUUCUGCCAAAACCCAAAUUUUUCUAUGGUUGACCUCGGAUCAGGUAGGGAUACCCGCUGAACUUAAGCAUAUCAUAACGGGGAGGAAAA
rnacentral:rRNA from 1 species